AUUCUCAAAACUUUUCUCUGAAACCAGAGAAGGCAAAUCGUUCGUGCAUGUGCCAACAAAAACGAUAGCCUCUCCAGAUCAAGGGUUAUUCAUGAUGACUCGGCAUUGGCUCUCCUCUUGCACAGCCAACUAAAAAAUCCGAUGAAGAUCAAGCAUUGUUGCAACGGCCAAGAUUUGUGUUCUAAAAGGCAGAAAAGUCUCGUUGAGACCAAGUAGAAAACAGUUGAGCCAUUCUUUAUCGCGAAUCCUUUGAAAUUGUGUGAGGGUUGCUAGUGGUCCCUCAAGUUUUUCUUCGGUAGAAUCGAGUUCGUGCCAUACGCUAUUUCAGUCGGCGGCAAUCCAACCACCACUUCUGGAGACAAAGAGUUGCUUAGUCAUGACCUCACCGGCAUAUUGCACCUCUUUUAGUGAUGAUGAAGAGGUGAUUCAAGAGGUGGUGGUGGGAUUGUGCUGUCGAAAACCUUUCCUUAUCUUUGGUGAGGAGGGCUCACUGAAAAUCUUUUGUCCAGGUUAAAUAGUUAUCAAAUCUGAUUAAUUGCUGUUUGAUGAGGGUAAUUUCUGGUCCAUCAGAAGCUAGUGAGAAAAGAACAUCACCUGGUUCAGGGCGGUGACCGACGAGUGGAACCAUUUGGAAGGUGAAUGGGUAUGGCUGAGUUGGAUCUAAGUUAUCUAGGUUGUAACUCGGUAUACCAAAAGGAAAUUGGUUUGGGCCUGUUGUAGGGUUUGUAGGGUUUAGGCCAUUUAGGCCUGGGCCUGGGCCUGGAUUUCUUGGGUUUGGAUUUGGAGGUGGUUCAUUGUGGGCUUGUUCUACAAUGUGUGUGUGUGUGUGUGUGCGCGCGCCAUUUGAGUGGUUGAGCUGAUAACUUUCUAGAAAUUGGUUGUAGUUUUUUCUGGAAUAUUGGUUCUAGUAACCGAGUGUUUGUAUUUUGAAAGAAAAAAAACAAUUGAUA